rnacentral:rRNA from 1 species
GAUGAACGCUGGCGGCGUGCCUAAUACAUGCAAGUCGAACGAGGUGCUUUUUGUAGCAAUACGAGGAGUAUCCUAGUGGCGAACGGGUGAGUAACGCGUGGGUGACCUACCCCAAAGUGUGGAAUAACAGUCCGAAAGGAUUGCUAAUGCCGCAUGUGGUCUGCGAGUUUAGAAAUCGUUGACUAAAGGAGCAAUUCGCUUUGGGAGGGACCUGCGUCCCAUCAGCUAGUUGGUGAGGUAACGGCUCACCAAGGCUACGACGGGUAGGGGACCUGAGAGGGUGGCCCCCCACAAUGGAACUGAAACACGGUCCAUACACCUACGGGUGGCAGCAGUAGGGAAUAUUGCACAAUGGGCGAAAGCCUGAUGCAGCAACGCCGCGUGCGCGAUGAAGGUCUUCGGAUCGUAAAGCGCUUUUCUGAGAGAUGAGAAAGGACAGUAUCUCAGGAAUAAGUCUCGGCUAACUACGUGCCAGCA